UGCGUAGGUGGUUUCUUAAGUCAGAGGUGAAGGGCUACGGCUCAACCGUAGUAAGCCUUUGAAACUGGGAAACUUGAGUGCAGGAGAGGAGAGUGGAAUUCCUAGUGUAGCGGUGAAAUGCGUAGAUAUUAGGAGGAACACCAGUUGCGAAGGCGGCUCUCUGGACUGUAACUGACACUGAGGCACGAAAGCGUGGGGAGCAAACA
rnacentral:rRNA from 1 species